UACGAAGGGUGCAAACGUUGCUCGGAAUCAUUGGGCGUAAAGCGCACGUAGGCGGCUUUGCAAGUCGUACGUGAAAUCCCUCAGCUCAACUGAGGAAGUGCAUCCGAAACUGCAAGGCUUGAGUACUGAAGAGGAUCGCGGAAUUCCCGGUGUAGAGGUGAAAUUCGUAGAUAUCGGGAGGAACACCAGUGGCGAAGGCGGCGAUCUGGGCAGAUACUGACGCUGAGGUGCGAAAGCGUGGGGAGCAAACAGG
rnacentral:rRNA from 1 species